CCAACAGGGAUUGCCUCAGUAACGGCGAGUGAAGCGGCAACAGCUCAAAUUUGAAAUCUGGCCCUAGGCCCGAGUUGUAAUUUGCAGAGGAUGCUUCUGGCGCGGUGCCUUCCAAGUCCCCUGGAACGGGGCGCCAUAGAGGGUGAGAGCCCCGUCUGGUUGGCCGCCAAGCCUGUGUGAAGCUCCUUCGACGAGUCGAGUAGUUUGGGAAUGCUGCUCUAAAUGGGAGGUAGACCCCUUCUAAAGCUAAAUACCGGCCAGAGACCGAUAGCGCACAAGUAGAGUGAUCGAAAGAUGAAAAGCACUUUGAAAAGAGGGUUAAACAGUACGUGAAAUUGUUGAAAGGGAAGCGCUUGUGACCAGACGUGCGUCGGGGUGCUCAGCGGGCGUUCUCGCCCGUGCACUCGCCCCGGCGCAGGCCAGCGUCGGUUCGGGCGGGGGGACAAAGGCGCCGGGAACGUAGCUCCUCCGGGAGUGUUAUAUCCCGGCGUGCCAUGCCCCCGCCUGGACCGAGGUUCGCGCUCCGCAAGGACGCUGGCGUAAUGGUCCCCAGCGGCCCGUCUUGAAACACGGACCAAGGAGUCGAGGUUUUGCGCGAGUGUUUGGGUGUCAAACCCGCACGCGUAAUGAAAGUGAACGCAGGUGGGAGCUUCGGCGCACCACCGACCGAUCCUGAUGUUCUCGGAUGGAUUUGAGUAAGAGCGUAGGGCCUCGGACCCGAAAGAUGGUGAACUAUACGUGAAUAGGGUGAAGCCAGAGGAAACUCUGGUGGAGGCUCGCAGCGGUUCUGACGUGCAAAUCGAUCGUCAAAUUUGCGUAUGGGGGCGAAAGACUAAUCGAACCAU
rnacentral:rRNA from 1 species